rnacentral:tmRNA from 1 species
GGGGCCGACCGGUUUCGACAUGGGUUGCGAAACUACAGGGGCGUACCGAGGUGCAGGUUCCUCGUAAAACCAUUUGCAAAUCUAUAGUUGCCAAUCAAGACAACUACGCUCUAGCCGCCUAACGCGGCUGAACCCUGAACGGCUCGUGCUGGUGAGAACGUUUAGGGGUAGCGCUCAUCAGCUAGUGGGACACACGUGUCUGGGGUGUGUGCAACGAAAAAUUACCGGGCUGGCUGUUCGCUUUCCCUGCCCGUUGGGUAGUGAGCGGUGAGAACAAUAGACUGGGCUACGUACGUAGAGCUUGUAGCGUAGGACUUAUGGACGGGGGUUCGAUUCCCCCCGGCUCCACCA